rnacentral:rRNA from 1 species
GAUGAACGCUGGCGGCGUGCCUAAUACAUGCAAGUCUAGCGAACGGACGAGAAGCUUGCUUCUCUGAUGUUAGCGGCGGACGGGUGAGUAACACGUGGAUAACCUACCUAUAAGACUGGGAUAACUUCGGGAAACCGGAGCUAAUACCGGAUAAUAUUUUGAACCGCAUGGUUCAAAAGUGAAAGACGGUCUUGCUGUCACUUAUAGAUGGAUCCGCGCUGCAUUAGCUAGUUGGUAAGGUAACGGCUUACCAAGGCAACGAUGCAUAGCCGACCUGAGAGGGGGAUCGGCCACACUGGAAAUGAGACACGGUCCAGACCCCUACGGGAGGCAGCAGUAGGGAAUUUUCCGCAAUGGGCGAAAGCCUGACGGAGCAACGCCGCGGGGGUGAUGAAGGUCUUCGGAUCGUAAAACUCUUUUAUUAGGGAAGAACAUAUGUGUAAGUAACUGUGCACAUCUUGACGGUCCCUAAUCAGAAAGCCACGGCUAACUACGU